rnacentral:rRNA from 1 species
UACGUAGGGGGCUAGCGUUGUCCGGAAUCAUUGGGCGUAAAGAGCGCGUAGGCGGCCAGAUAAGUCCGGUGUGAAAGUCACAGGCUCAACCUGUGAAUGCCGCUGGAAACUGUCUGGCUAGAGUCCGGGAGGGGCGAGUGGAAUUCCUGGUGUAGCGGUGAAAUGCGUAGAUAUCGGGAGGAACACCAGUGGCGAAGGCGACUACCUGGCCCAUUCUUGACGCUGAGGCGCGAAAGCUAGGGGAGCGAACGGG